rnacentral:rRNA from 1 species
UACGUAGGUGGCAAGCGUUGUCCGGAUUUAUUGGGCGUAAAGCGAGCGCAGGCGGUUCCUUAAGUCUGAUGUGAAAGCCCACGGCUCAACCGUGGAAGGUCAUUGGAAACUGGGGAACGUUGAGUGCAGAAGAGGAGAGUGGAAUUCCAUGUGUAGCGGUGAAAUGCGUAGAUAUAUGGAGGAACACCAGUGGCGAAGGCGACUCUCUGGUCUGUAACUGACGCUGAGGCUCGAAAGCGUGGGGAGGCAAACAGGAUUAGA